CCUGCCCACUGAUUAAUUGAAUGGCCGCAGUAAUUUGACUGUGCAAAGGUAGCAUAAUCAUUAGUUUUUUAAUUAAAAGCUUGUAUGAAGGGUUGGACGAGGUAAAAUCUGUCUCUAAUUAAUUUAUUAUAGAAUUUAAUUUUUAAGUUAAAAAGCUUAAAUUUUAAUAAAAGACGAGAAGACCCUAUAGAUCUUUAUAUUUUUAUUUAUAAUUUUAUUUAGGAUUGUUUUAUUUAUUAUUUAUAAGAAUAUUUUAUUGGGGUAAUAGAGAGAUUAAUUAAAUUCUUUUUUUAAUAUAAUAUAUAUUUAUAGUUAUUUGAUCCAAUUAUUUUGAUUAUAAGAUUAAGUUACCUUAGGGAUAACAGCGUAAUUUUUUUAAAGAGUUCAUAUCGAUAAAAAAGUUUGCGACCUCGAUGUUGGAUUAAAAAUUAUUUUAGCUGUAGAAGGUUAAAAAUUUGGUCUGUUCGACCAUUAAAUUUUUACAUGAUCUGAGUUCAAACCGGUGUAAGCCAGGUUGGUUUCUAUCUUUAUUAAAUUAAUAUAUUUUAGUACGAAAGGACCAAAUAUUUAAUAUAAUUAUAUUUUUAUUUUGAAUAUUAAU
rnacentral:rRNA from 1 species